AGUGAACGCUGGCGGUAGGCCUAACACAUGCAAGUCGAACGGCAGCACAGUAAGAGCUUGCUCUUACGGGUGGCGAGUGGCGGACGGGUGAGGAAUACAUCGGAAUCUACUUUUUCGUGGGGGAUAACGUAGGGAAACUUACGCUAAUACCGCAUACGACCUACGGGUGAAAGCAGGGGAUCUUCGGACCUUGCGCGAUUGAAUGAGCCGAUGUCGGCUUAGCUAGUUGGCGGGGUAAAGGCCCACCAAGGCGACGAUCCGUAGCUGGUCUGAGAGGAUGAACAGGCACACUGGAACUGAGAAACGGUCCAGACUCCUACGGGAGGCAGCAGUGGGGAAUAUUAGACAAUGGGCGCAAGCCUGAUCCAGCCAUACCGCGUGGGUGAAGAAGGCCUUCGGGUUGUAGAGCCCUUUUGUUGGGAAAGAAAAACAGCAGGUUAAUACCCCGCUGUUCUGACGGUACCCAAAGAAUAAGCACCGGCUAACUUCGUG
rnacentral:rRNA from 1 species